rnacentral:rRNA from 1 species
AUUGAACGCUGGCGGCAUGCUUUACACAUGCAAGUCGAACGGUAACAGGCCGCAAGGUGCUGACGAGUGGCGAACGGGUGAGUAAUGCAUCGGAACGUGCCCAGUCGUGGGGGAUAACGCAGCGAAAGCUGCGCUAAUACCGCAUACGAUCUAUGGAUGAAAGCGGGGGACCGUAAGGCCUCGCGCGAUUGGAGAGGCCGAUGUCAGAUUAGGUAGUUGGUGGGGUAAAGGCUCACCAAGCCAACGAUCUGUAGUUGGUCUGAGAUGACGACCAGACACACUGGGACUGAGACACGGCCCAGACACCUACGGUAGGCAGCAUUGGGGAAUUUUGGACAAUGGGCGCAAGCCUGAUCCAGCAAUGCCGCGUGCAGGAAGAAGGCCUUCGGGUUGUAAACUGCUUUUGUACGGAACGAAACGGCUCUCUCUAAUACAGGGGGCUAAUGACGGUACCGUAAGAAUAAGCACCGGCUAACUACGUGCCAGCAGCCGCGGUAACAC